rnacentral:rRNA from 1 species
GACGAACGCUGGCGGCGUGCCUAAUACAUGCAAGUCGAACGCAGUUGCGAACGGGUGCGUAACGCGUAGGUAACUGCCUCAAAGCAGGGGAUAACUAUUGGAAACGAUAGCUAAUACCGCAUCCUUUGAGAUGGACCUGCGUGGUAUUAGCUAGUUGGUGAGGUAAAGGGUAACCAAGGCGACGAUACAUAGCCGGCCGGAGAGGGUGAACGGCCCCACUGGGACUGAGACCCGGCCCCGGCUCCUACGGGAGGCAGCAGUUGGGAAUCUUAGGCAAUGGAAGGAAGGCUGACCGAGGAACGCCGAGGUAGUGAAGAAGGUUUUUGGAUCCUAAAGACCUGGUGUUUGAGAAGCGGUAACUAACCAGAAAGGGACGGCUAACUACGUGCCAGCAGCCGCGGUAAUUC